rnacentral:lncRNA from 1 species
UUGGAAAAGCCACAUAGAGGUCAAACUCUGUCUAGCUAUCCGUCUAUAAAGAAAUCCAGACAGCGUAAUGCAGCAUUUUAUGAACAACAAGUGGAUCUUCUGGGAAUGACAGAAUCCUCCCUACGAAUUAGAAGCAUGGAAGGAUUCGUUACACUUUAACAUGUUUCUUCAGUGACAUGUGCGACCUUGACUUUUAAUUAUUCAAGAGUGGCAAGUAUGGAACCUAAAGUGGAUUGUUGACACAAGAUGCCUGGAAAUAAGGAGAAUUAUGAAAGACAUACUGUUGUUUUAAAUUUCAAACCACAGUUACCUGUGUAACUAAAGAACCUGUAAGUCCCUCAAUAGGAAAAAGUGGAAACUGACCCAGAGGAUGCCAGACAGAAGGAUAUAUCCAAUUGCAGUUCUUACCAGCAUACAGGAGGAGGUUCCAUAUGAAUAUAACUUCUUGCCUAAGUUGGUUUAGGUAAGAAGACUCUUCAUGUGCCUGUUUCCUUCAAAUUUUAAGGGAAAGCCUAAGGGAAGAGGAGGUAUUGCAGGAGAUGGUGGGAAAAUGGAAGAAGGAUGCUUGGCAGAAGGCAGGAGCAGAGGGUCACUCUAGUGACUUGGAAGAAGUGUUGGAGAGAGCUCUUGCAUGGUGGUAGAACCGAGGACAGCCUAGACCUUCUGAUUGUCAACUCCUUGUUCCAUUGUGUCCAAACCUACAUGUCUGAACUCCUCUCAUCAAAGACUUCUCAAAGUUAUUAAUAACUGGGGAUCACGUAUUCAGUAAUUACACACAUCAGGCUCCAUGCUUUCUGUGCAGUAUGUAAAUUGAUUCAUUGUCAUACUAAUUAUAAAUGGCUAGUAUUAUUGCUGCUUUACAAAUGAGGCAUAUGACACACAGGGAGCUAAAUAAUUUGCCUAAGGUCACCCCACUUGUAAAUGAUGAAGCCAGGACUCAAGGCCAGGUCUGGCCACCCCUGAAUUUAAUAGCUUUAUCCUCUAUAUCUCUGUUUUCUCCCAGACCAAGGUGUCUGUACCUCUCUGCCAACAGAGAAAAGGGUUCAUUCAUUCAUCAAAUGUUUGUUGAGCAUCUAUUGUGACUCAGGCAAUAUCCUAGAUCAAGGAUUGUCAAACUUUUUCUAUAAAGGACAAGAGAGCAAACAUUUUAGGUCUCCUGGGUCAUACGGUCAGUCACUGUGAUUCAACUCUGCUGUUGUAGUACAAGAUUGUGAAAGCAGCCAUAGAUGAUAUGUCAAUGAAUGAGCAUGGUUGUGUUCCAAUAAAAUGUCACUUGCGAAAGCAGGCUGUGGGCUGGGUUUGGGCCAAGAGUUCUAUCCCUGCUCUAGGCACUGGAGUUACAAUAGCAAAAAAUUAAAAUAAA